rnacentral:rRNA from 1 species
AUGUUGUAUUACAUCAGGGUCGAUUACGGGGGCUCUUUCCACACGUAUCCUUAUGCGGGCGUGCCGUUUCAGAGCCUAGAUGAAGCUGACAAAGCCAUGGAUCGCUAUUUUCUUCAACAUAGGGACCUAAAACUGUUAAUGCACCAAGGCGGGGUUUCUUCACUGGAAAUGGCCAUAGAAGCAGCUCUUUACUGGCCUGAUGGUGCAAGGAAGCGUUCGAAAUCAGAUCACGCUGAGAGAGCCCGUAAUGGAACGCGCCGAUUACUUCAAGCUUUGGUGGACAAGCAUAACGAGGAUCACAGUCUUUGGGGGGAUUUUGCGUAUGAACUCAAAGAUGUUGUGGAGUGCAAAGUAUUCAGUGAGAAGCGUGGGUGGUACUAUCAUCUCAAUUUCACUUUGACUAAAGGAGCUGAUCGUGGCAUCGAAGAUCUAUUCUUUGUCGAAGUCAAAUAUGUGCGACCAGUAAAACAAGAAGAACUGUCGGUUAGCUGUUUCUGCAUGAUUAAACCUACCGAUCAUGGACACUGCUAUGGCUGUACCAACAAUGGAAGUGUCAAUAUGAAGCACCCCAACAGUGCUGAUGAAUACACUGGUGGUCACUUGAAUGUUGGUAUGCCAUUUGGAUGCUAUUCAGAUUGGAGCUACUGGGAUUAUAACGAUCUGGAAGCCAAGAAGAAAGAGCUCAGAGAUGCGUUCACGGGCGUUGAUGAUCCUGAGGUGAAGGAAGUCUCCACGGUGCCUCCGAAUGCAUUUUUGCCGUAG